rnacentral:rRNA from 1 species
GAGCACGUAGGUGGGUUUGUAAGUCAGAUGUGAAAGCCUUCUGUUCAACGGGAGAAUUGCAUCUGAGACUACAGACCCUGAGUAUAGGAGGGGAGAGUGGAACUUCUGGUGGAGCGGUGAAAUGCGUAGAUAUCAGAAGGAACGCCGGCGGCGAAGGCGAUUCUCUGGCCUAUUACUGACACUCAGUGUGCGAAAGCUAGGGGAGCAAACGGGAUUAGAUACCCCGGUAGUCCUAGCCGUAAACGAUGGGCACUAAGUAGAGGGGGUUA